rnacentral:rRNA from 1 species
CGUUGUUGGGUAGGGGAGCGUUCUGUAAGCCGUUGAAGGUGGCCUGUGAGGGUUGCUGGAGGUAUCAGAAGUGCGAAUGCUGACAUAAGUAACGAUAAAGCGGGUGAAAAGCCCGCUCGCCGGAAGACCAAGGGUUCCUGUCCAACGUUAAUCGGGGCAGGGUGAGUCGACCCCUAAGGCGAGGCUGAAAAGCGUAGUCGAUGGGAAACAGGUUAAUAUUCCUGUACUUGGUGUUACUGCGAAGGGGGGACGGAGAAGGCUAGGCUAGCCGGGCGACGGUUGUCCCGGUUUAAGCGUGUAGGGGGUGUGACCUGGUAAAUCCGGUUGCAUAUCAACCCUGAGGCGUGAUGACGAUGCACUACGGUGCAGAAGUAGUUGAUGCCCUGCUUCCAGGAAAAGCCUCUAAGCUCCAGGUAACAUUGAAUCGUACCCCAAACCGACACAGGUGGUCAGGUAGAGAAUACCAAGGCGCUUGAGAGAACUCGGGUGAAGGAACUAGGCAAAAUGGUGCCGUAACUUCGGGAGAAGGCACGCUGGCAUGUAGGUGAAGUCC